rnacentral:rRNA from 1 species
GAUUUCUGGUUUGGUGCGCCGAGCCCGCCGCCGUUAGGCGGUGAGUGCUUGUUUGUGCGCCUACCAUCCUUCCGGAGAGCAUGCUCUACCCUUAACUGGGCCGGAGUAUGCGAUCUGGAUCGUUUACUUUGAAAAAAUUAGAGUGUUUAAAGCAGGCGUUUGCUAUGAAUACAUUAGCAUGGAAUAAUAAGAUAGGGCUUUGGUUCUAUUUUGUUGGUUUCUAGGACUGAAGUAAUGAUUGAUAGGGACAGUUGGGGGUGCUAGUAUUUAACGGCCAGAGGUGAAAUUCUUGGAUUCGGUAAAGACUAACUUAUGCGAAAGCAUU